UACGUAGGUGACUAGCGUUGUCCGGAUUUACUGGGCGUAAAGGGCGCGUAGGCGGCCUUCUAAGUCGGACGUGAAAUCCCCAGGCUUAACUUGGGAACUGCGUCCGAUACUGGAGGGCUUGAGUGCGGGAGAGGGAUGUGGAAUUCCAGGUGUAGCGGUGAAAUGCGUAGAUAUCUGGAGGAACACCGGUGGCGAAGGCGGCAUCCUGGACCGACACUGACGCUGAUGCGCGAAAGCCAGGGGAGCAAACGGG
rnacentral:rRNA from 1 species